GCGGCCUUGGCCGCGGCCUGCGCGGCGGCGCCGGUGCUGCCGGCAUAGACCGCGCCGGUGGGCGAAAUGCGCUGUUCGGUGCGCUUGGUCGCA
rnacentral:tRNA from 1 species